GCUGGACUGUAACUGACGCUGAGGCACGAAAGCGUGGGGAUCAAACNGGAUUAGAUACCCUGGUANNNCACGCNGUAAACGAUGAAUGCUAGCUGUUAGCGAUAUACUGUUAGCGGCACAGAGAAAUCGUUAAGCAUUCCACCUGGGGAGUACGCCGGCAACGGUGAAACUCAAAGGAAUUGACGGGGGCCCGCACAAGCGGAGGAACAUGUGGUUUAAUUCGAUGAUACGCGAGGAACCUUACCUGGGCUUAAAUUGCAGUGGAAUAACGUGGAAACAUGUUAGCCUUCGGGCCGCUGUGAAGGUGCUGCAUGGUUGUCGUCAGCUCGUGCCGUGAGGUGUCGGCUUAAGUGCCAUAACGAGCGCAACCCUCAUCGAUAGUUACUAACAGGUUAAGCUGAGGACUCUAUCGAGACUGCCGACGUAAGUCGUGAGGAAGGUGGGGAUGACGUCAAAUCAGCACGGCCCUUACGUCCAGGGCUACACACGUGUUACAAUGGGGGGUACAAAGGGCAGCUACCUGGCGACAGGAUGCUAAUCUCUAAAACCUCUCUCAGUUCGGAUUGGAGUCUGCAACCCGACUCCAUGAAGCUGGAUUCGCUAGUAAUCGCGCAUCAGCCACGGCGCGGUGAAUACGUUCCCGGGCCUUGUACACACCGCCCGUCAAGCCAUGGGAGCCGGGGGGACCUGAAGUAUGCAACCGUAAGGAGCGUCCUAGGGUAAAACUGGUGACUGGGGCU
rnacentral:rRNA from 1 species